rnacentral:lncRNA from 1 species
CUGUAGAGGGUAAGUUUAGAUUAGUAAGAGAGACCUUAAAGGUUAGCAAGAAUAGGAUUGAUUCUAUUCACCCAACCCAACAAGGAGGAAGGAACUUAACCAGUUAAUACAUCAUGAUGCAUGCACGAACUUACGAUUCCUACUAACAAUUCGUAACAAUAUUACCUUCAAUUUUUUUUUUACAACAUAGGGCAAUACUUUAGGUUGCUCCUCCAUACCACUUCAAAAAUUCUAAGAAAGCCUAUAGACAGGGGUAGAUUAGGACUAAGCACUUGGACUCAAAAUAGGCAGGUUCAUAGUAGUAGAUCCAAACGAAUUUUUUUUUUUUGAAAUUUUUCAACAGGUACAGCAGUCAUCUUAGCAACGAAUGCUCCGAUACCAGCUGUGGCAGAACCCCCUAAGUGUUUGGGCCCACCGGCACCUGCCAUUGUCCUAAGGACCUCUGACGGUGAUGCCGGGAGUCCUCCCACUUCAGAAGUCCGAUGAGCAUUGCUGGGCGCUCAUUCCACUGCUACCUGUGGCGUACCAAGCUGGCUCGUCCUGACCACUGGUUAUGGUCAAACAACGAGAACUGUUUCUUCUCGCCCUUACAGGAUAGCAAGUGGCCACCUUAACACCAGGAUCAUUCGUUGCGAAGAUAAAGCAGUAACUCAACGACACAAGACCAAAAUAAUAUUUC